UACGUAGGGUGCGAGCGUUGUCCGGAAUUACUGGGCGUAAAGGGCUCGUAGGCGGUCUGUCGCGUCGAAAGUGAAAACUCAGGGCUUAACCCUGAGCCUGCUUCCGAUACGGGCAGACUAGAGGUAUGCAGGGGAGAACGGAAUUCCUGGUGUAGCGGUGAAAUGCGCAGAUAUCAGGAGGAACACCGGUGGCGAAGGCGGUUCUCUGGGCAUUACCUGACGCUGAGGAGCGAAAGUGUGGGGAGCGAACAGG
rnacentral:rRNA from 1 species